rnacentral:rRNA from 1 species
GACGAACGCUGGCGGCGUGCUUAACACAUGCAAGUCGUACGGUAAGGCCCUUUCGGGGGUACACGAGUGGCGAACGGGUGAGUAACACGUGAGUAACCUGCCCACAACUUUGGGAUAACGCUAGGAAACUGGUGCUAAUACUGGAUAUGUGCCCCUGCUGCAUGGUGGGGGUUGGAAAGCUCCGGCGGUUGUGGAUGGACUCGCGGCCUAUCAGCUUGUUGGUGGGGUAGUGGCCUACCAAGGCGGCGACGGGUAGCCGGCCUGAGAGGGUGACCGGCCACAUUGGGACUGAGAUACGGCCCAGACUCCUACGGGAGGCAGCAGUGGGGAAUAUUGCACAAUGGGCGCAAGCCUGAUGCAGCAACGCCGCGGGCGGGAUGACGGCCUUCGGGUUGUAAACCGCUUUCAGCAGGGACGAAGCUUUUUGUGACGGUACCAGCAGAAGAAGCACCGGCUAACUACGUG